rnacentral:rRNA from 1 species
ACCAGUACCGUGAGGGAAAGGCGAAAAGAACCCCGGGAGGGGAGUGAAAUAGAUCCUGAAACCGUGUGCAUACAAACAGUCGGAGCGGACUUGUUCCGUGACGGCGUACCUUUUGUAUAAUGGGUCAGCGACUUACAUUCAGUGGCAAGGUUAACCGAAUAGGGAAGCCGUAGAGAAAUCGAGUCCGAAUAGGGCGUCUAGUCGCUGGGUGUAGACCCGAAACCAAGUGAGCUAUCCAUGGCCAGGAUGAAGGUGCAGUAACAUGCACUGGAGGUCCGAACCCACUAGUGUUGCAAAACUAGGGGAUGAGCUGUGGAUAGGGGUGAAAGGCUAAACAAACUUGGAAAUAGCUGGUUCUCUCCGAAAACUAUUUAGGUAGUGCCUCAAGUAUUACCAUCGGGGGUAGAGCACUGUUUUGGCUAGGGGGUC